rnacentral:rRNA from 1 species
UACGAAGGGGGCUAGCGUUGUUCGGAUUUACUGGGCGUAAAGCGCACGUAGGCGGAUCGUUAAGUCAGGGGUGAAAUCCUGGGGCUCAACCCCAGAACUGCCUUUGAUACUGGCAAUCUCGAGUCCGGAAGAGGUGAGUGGAACUCCUAGUGUAGAGGUGGAAUUCGUAGAUAUUAGGAAGAACACCAGUGGCGAAGGCGGCUCACUGGUCCGGUACUGACGCUGAGGUGCGAAAGCGUGGGGAGCAACAGG